rnacentral:tRNA from 1 species
GAGGAUUUAGCUCAGUGGUAGAGCGCUUGCCUAGCAAGCGAAAGGCCCUGGGUUCGGUCCUCAGCUCU